rnacentral:rRNA from 1 species
AUUGAACGCUGGCGGCAUGCCUUACACAUGCAAGUCGAACGGCAGCACGGGUGCUUGCACCUGGUGGUGAGUGGCGAACGGGUGAGUAAUACAUCGGAACACGUCCUGUAGUGGGGGAUAGCCCGGCGAAAGCCGGAUUAAUACCGCAUACGAUCCACGGAUGAAAGCGGGGGACCUUCGGCCCUCGCGCUAUAGGGUUGGCCGAUGGCUGAUUAGCUAGUUGGUGGGGUAAAGGCCUACCAAGGCGACGAUCAGUAGCUGGUCUGAGAGGACGACCAGCCACACUGGGACUGAGACACGGCCCAGACUCCUACGGGAGGCAGCAGUGGGGAAUUUUGGACAAUGGGCGAAAGCCUGAUCCAGCAAUGCCGCGUGUGUGAAGAAGGCCUUCGGGUUGUAAAGCGCUUUUGUCCGGAAAGAAAUCCUUGGCUCUAAUACAGUCGGGGGAUGACGGUACCGGAAGAAUAAGCACCGGCUAACUACGUG